rnacentral:lncRNA from 1 species
CACUGCAAGCCAUUGUUUAACUCAACAUCAAGAAAUGAUUAACACUUUAGAAGAGAGACUAGAAAGCAAUCUUACGAUCUGUGAGGAAAAAUUAUUAAAUUAAAAUGUAUUAUAAAGUUAAAUAUGAUAUGUGUGGUUAUUUCUAUACUGAUUUUUUUCUACUCUACUGCAAUUUAGAUGUACAAACAUAGAAAAUAUUUUCUAUUUUAUUUAUUUGGUUUUUAAAUACUCAUUGCAAAAAAUAACUAGGUUAUGUGCCCAAUCAUAUAAUAGAUUUUCAAAAAGCAAGAUAUUUCAUAUAUUCUAUUUAAAUUUAAUAAUAAAUUUCAUUAUAAAAAUCAAAAUAUUAGCACAGAAAAGUAAUGUAUUCAUGCACAUUAUGAAAGAUAGUUGCACAAUUGAAUGUAUAGGAAAAAAAUCCAUUUCUUUGACAAGUAACUAUUUUCUUGGAUAAAAAGCAAUUACUUAUUACUUAAAAUAUUUUCCCUCUACAUAAAAUAACAUGAUGCCCAAGAUAAUUUCUAUUCCACCCCAAAGAGAUUUAGUUAAGUCUUCUAUAGACCUUAUUUACAUAAAAAAAAUUGAGAAAUAUGUCUUCUUUUAGAAAGUAUUUCUAGAAAGUAUUUUAGUAAAGAAAAUUUUGACUUGGCUUAAGAACAGAAAAUAGAAUUUUUACCUUAAGCUGAGACAGUACAUGUUAUUUAUUAAAUCCAUUUUAAUUUCCCCUACUUUCUCUGAGUAAAGUUUCAUUAAUAACUAGGUAAUUGGUGAGGGAAGUGAUAUUGGAUGGAGUAUGGGGCUUAAGAUAACAGUGAAGAAACUGGGAUUAUCCUUAGGAUAUUUACUCAAAUAAUGAAAGAUGAGUCAACAAAGAUAAAUCCAACAGGAGGGAAUAUAGAUAUGAGGAGUGAAAAAAGAUGUACAUACUUUGGACAUGUUUGGUUGAGGUUCCUAUGGAAUAGUCAUGGAAAGGUGUCAGUUAACAGUUGAGAUCUCAUUCUGAAGUUUUAUAUACAACAGAGCUGAAAGACAUCAACACAUGGAGACUGAGAGCAAAUAAACUCAGCCAACACAGUAUAAUACAAUUAAUAAGAGCAUUAACGGAAUGCUGGGUGAUCCUAACAAUGAAAGCAAUGCCUCAGAAUCAUCAGAGAUAUAUUUUUGAAGAUUUAGGUUCAUGAAAUAUUCUUCAGAUCUACUUUGGCGAUAGGGCUCAAGAAUCUACUUUUAAUUUUUCUUUUAAAAUAACCAUUACAUGUGAUGUAAUGAAUAAGAUAGGUUGGGAUCCAUUGAUUUAUUUCAGUGAUAGAAGAAAAGAACAAAUAAGCAGGCCUAAUGUAAGGUCAAAAAGAAUGCCAAGAAAAUAAGAUCCCAUAAAGCAGGGGAGGAGAUCAAGUAGGGUUAAUUCUGCACGGAGGUCAGAUAACAAAAGAUCUGAAAUGUUUCUACUAGAUUUACAAGCCAGCAGUGAUAGGUAAUCUCUUCACAAACAGUAUCAGAGAGAUAGGAAGGAAAACUGUUGCAGUAAGAUUAUGGGGAAGUUGAAACAACAAAUACAGAUCCUUUUUCCACAAAGUUUACCAUAAAGGAAAAAUUUAAAUAAUGUAAUAUGCAUAACAGAAAGCAAAGUGAAGUGACAGAUUUUAAUUUUUAAGAGUGAAGAAGCUUAUUCAAAUAAACUAAAAAAUAUACUUUUUUUUAGGUUUUUUUUUUUUUUUCUUAGGACUCCACCAGCGCAUGUGGACUUUCCCAGACUAGGGACUGAACUGGAGCUAUACCCACUGGCCUACACCACAGCCACAUCAACACCAGACCAGAGCUGCAUCUGUGACCUGCACCACAGCUCAUGGCAAUGCCACAUCCGGGAUCCACUGAGCAGGGUCAGGGAUCAAACCCUUGUCCUCAUGGAUACUAGUUGGGGUCGUUACCACUGAGCCAUGAUGGGAACUCCCGAAAUAGACAUUUUUCUAGUCAAUGUAACAUCAAACGAACAGUCCUUUAACUAACUCAUCACUUUAUAACUCAUAAUUUCACAUUGUGGUUCUUAGUUCUUAGUUGAUAACUAAGAACUAAGUCUACCCAAAUGAACUUUUAAUUUCCUGUCAUUAUAGAGGUGGAGGCAGUAAGUGAUGCUAGAACUCACAUAUUAUUGAAAAACAAAAUAAUAGAUGGGGGCUCAAUUUUUUUUAAUGCUGACAAAUGUUUAAGCAAUCAUCAUCACCAGUUUACUACCAAUCUACUGGACCACAUGUUGUGAUCCUUGGUGUGUGACUAAAUUCUUAUAAGUAAUUCAACACAUCUAUCCUGAGAGCAAGGUAAGUGUCAGAAAGGUAGCUACAUCAUAAAAGUAUGUCUGGCUGUCACGUAUUGAUGACACCAACAAUCCCCUACAUAUGUGAGUCUUUUAGGAAAGGUUCCACUGAAUGCUUUAUGCUAUUGAGUUUUUUGUUCAAUACAGGCGAUUUGGGAAUAAGCAAAUAAAAGUCGAUGUUGUCUUCAAGUAAUCAUUUUUCUGGUGCUUGAUUCCCUCUGCCACUAUAUUUUUAUUGUGCUUGGGCAUUGAGGGUAGAAAUAAUUAAAAGGAUUUUCAUUUUCUAUGCUCCCUGUGUCUAGAAAGCAUCAAAUUAAUGUUUAAAAAAAUGUUUUCCUGAGUUGAUGCUUGUUGAAGAAGCAAAGGAAGAAGGUUUUUGCAGGAAGGCUCUUUGUAUGUUAUCAAAGUAAUGGCAAAGACUCCAUUGUUUGGAACAUUUGUCAUCCAUGCUUAAAUUAGCAAACAUGUGCAACCCCAUUCAAACUUGAGAAAAAAUGCUUUUAUUUGGGAUCUUCAUGGAAGUUAAUUGAAAGCUUGUCUGGAUUAAUUACCACACAAUAUUUCCAUAUAGAUGAGGCCAGGGCAAUAACUGCUGAAAUAAUGAGAUUUUUUUUUCCCCCUGCAGUCCAUUGUCUACCUCAACUCUCAGUGAAGAUUCUGGAAAAGGAUGUGCUUGCCAUGUGGGAUUCUAGUGGUAAAGCAAGUGCACUUGAUCAUCACAUAUGCUUUGGUUGUGAAGAUGAAAAUGCUUAUCGUUGUUGUUUGAUUAUUAUUAGUUGUAGCAAUAGUGCUGAUAACUCACCCUUGUUGGGGAAUGCUAAUCCUGGCUACUGGGCUAUUUUGUUGUAGUAUUUAAUUUAAUUCUUGUUGUGCCAAAUGUUAAUAUCUUUGUUUUACUGGUGAAGGAAAUGAAGAAUAAAUGUGUUAAAUAACUUGUCCAAAAUACACAGCUAAUACCAGGUAGAACAAAUAUUAGGACUAAUUUUGUCACAAUACUGAACUUGAGUUCUUACUCCCUGUUGCUUACUGUUUCUGAUUGAAUAUGGUAUAAUAUCUAGUCCAGCAUGACACUGUGAGAUGCCUUCAUGCUCAGAAUUGCAAUACCACAUUCUUUCGCACAUGACAAAGAUCAUCAUUAGCUUAGGCUGUUUAUAAUAACAAACAUAUUUUUGUGUAAUUUGUGUAAAAUGGGUGUAUACAUAUGUACAAAAUGAAUCAUUUUAGUAAUUUGUAUGACAUAAUUAACAAACAUAGGCUAUCCUGUUUAAAUGGCCAAGGCUGAUGACCAAGAGAAAAAAAGGAAUUUUGAUUAAAAAAAAAAAUAAUCAUCACAUAUGGCUAGUUCCCUGAGAAAGUUACAUAUAACAGUAAUACUCUAUGUCAAUACCUGGAGCUUAGAACACAAAAAAUUAAUAGGUAUAGAGAUUUCCUAGUGAAGAAAGAAAAGGCUUCUAGGUAAAUCAUAUGUCCUCUAAGACUGAAAGUCUAGGCUCUUAGUCUCAGUCCCUAUGUCGUUAAAACAAGCAAACAAAAAAACUCAGUGAGAAAUUAAAAUUUUUGUCUUACUAAAAGAGCAUCUUAAUAGAAUAUUUUGUUCUGACUCAGCACCUGCCUAUAUUUGACAGCUGUGGCAGUUUUGGGGGGGCUAAGAAAGAAAAAAUUAUAUAUAUUUUUUAAUCUUCACCACUUCUCCCCCCCCUUCUGCUGUUGUAGAAAAGGGUAAUUAUCCUUAAAUGUGCCCUUAUUUAGUGUUGGUGCAAAAACUGUAAGAAAAUGAUUUAUUAUCUGUGGAAAAGUGUUUUUGUUUGGGUAUCUUCGGAAAUAAAGAUUCAAGGAAGGUUUUUUUUUUUUGAGAAAUGAAGGAAAAGUCUGAUGGUAGUAGAAAAUGAGACAAAAAAAAAGUUAAAAAGGCAGUCAUCCAAGGGUGGGUUAUCAGACCAGUUACCACUGUGGGUACCUGGAGCUUAAUCCUACUGGAAAUCCUCUGGGAGCAAAAUAUAGAACAUUUGGCCAGGACUUAUCUCACCUAAUGCAUGAGAGAACUGAAGAAUUUAUAAGCCAACUUUCAUCAGCAAUUUUGGGAGUGGAGACAGUGGUAUUAAUAAAGAAGGAUUUCUGCUUUCUUUCCUUCGGGAAGAUUCGUUCUACAGAAAGCAGAGGUGCUUGCAGAAAAUUGAUUUUAGGAGUUUUGUUUACCAAAGCUUAAAGCCAUUGGAGAGAUUAUGGUUGAUACCCUUAGCAUGAGACAAAGCAGAGUCCAGCAUUAAGAGAGAGGUUCCAGCAUGCAGAUGGCCAAGAUCACCUCACACAAGUUAGAAUGGCCCUCAUCAAAAAGUCUGCAAAUAAUAAAUGCUAAAGAGGAUGUGGAGAAAACAAAACUCUCCUAUGUUGUUGCUACCAGUGUAAAUUGGUGCAACAACUAUAAAGAAUUGUAUAGAGGUUCCUCGAAAAACUAAAAAUAGAACUACCAUAUGAUCCUUCAGUUCCACUCCUGGGCCUGUAUUUGCAAAAGACAAAAAUUCUAAUUAGAAAAUAUUCAGGAGUUCUUGUCAUGGCUCAGUGGUUAACGAAUCCAACUAGGAACCAUGAGGUUGCGGGUUCGACCCCUGGCCUUGCUCAGUGGGUUAAGGAUCCAGUGUUGCCGUGAGCUGUGUUGUAGGUCGCAGAUGCGGCUCGGAUCCCGCAUUGCUGUGGCUCUGGCGUAGGCCGGCGGCUACAGCUCCGAUUAGACCCCUAGCCUGGGAACCUCCAUGUGCCACAG